CCUACGGGAGGCAGCAGUGGGGAAUAUUGGUCAAUGGACGAGAGUCUGAACCAGCCAAGUAGCGUGAAGGAUGACUGCCCUCUGGGUUGUAAACUUCUUUUAUAUGGGAAUAAAAUGUUCCACGUGUGGGAUUUUGUAUGUACCAUAUGAAUAAGAAUCGGCUAACUCCGUGCCAGCAGCCGCGGUAAUACGGAGGAUCCGAGCGUUAUACGGAUUUAUUGGGUGUAAAGGGAGCGUAGGUGGAUUGUUAAGUCAGUUGUGAAAGUUUGCGGCUCAACCGGAAAAUUGCAGUUGAAACUGGCAGUCUUGAGUACAGUAGAGGUGGGCGGAAUUCGUGGUGUAGCGGUGAAAUGCUUAGAUAUCACGAAGAACUCCGAUUGCGAAGGCAGUUCACUGGACUGCAACUGACACUGAGGCUCGAAAGUGUGGGUAUCAAACAGGAUUAGAUACCCUUGUAGUC
rnacentral:rRNA from 1 species